rnacentral:rRNA from 1 species
UACGUAGGGUGCGAGCGUUAAUCGGAAUUACUGGGCGUAAAGCGUGCGCAGGCGGUUCGUUAAGUUCGUUGUGAAAGCCCCGGGCUCAACCUGGGAACUGCAAUGGAAACUGGCGGGCUUGAAUGCGGCAGAGGGGGGUGGAAUUCCGCGUGUAGCAGUGAAAUGCGUAGAGAUGUGGAGGAAUACCGAUGGCGAAGGCAGCCCCCUGGGAUGACACUGACGCUCAUGCACGAAAGCGUGGGGAGCAAACAGG